AUUGAACGCUGGCGGCAGGCCUAACACAUGCAAGUCGAGCGGUAGAGAGAAGCUUGCUUCUCUUGAGAGCGGCGGACGGGUGAGUAAUGCCUAGGAAUCUGCCUGGUAGUGGGGGAUAACGUUCGGAAACGGACGCUAAUACCGCAUACGUCCUACGGGAGAAAGCAGGGGACCUUCGGGCCUUGCGCUAUCAGAUGAGCCUAGGUGGGAUUAGCUAGUUGGUGGGGUAAUGGCUCACCAAGGCGGCGAUCCGUAACUGGUCUGAGAGGAUGAUCAGUCACACUGGAACUGAGACACGGUCCAGACUCCUACGGGAGGCAGCAGUGGGGAAUAUUGGACAAUGGGCGGAAGCCUGAUCCAGCCAUGCCGCGUGUGUGAAGAAGGUCUUCGGAUUGUAAAGCACUUUAAGUUGGGAGGAAGGGCAGUAAAUUAAUACUUUGCUGUUUUGACGUUACCGACAGAAUAAGCACCGGCUAACUCUGUG
rnacentral:rRNA from 1 species